rnacentral:rRNA from 1 species
AGAGACAGCAGCAGCCGCGGGAAUACGCAGGGUGCAAGCGUUAAUCGGAAUUACUGGGCGUAAAGCGUGCGCAGGCGGUUUUGUAAGACAGUUGUGAAAUCCCCGGGCUCAACCUGGGAACUGCAUCUGUGACUGCAUUGCUGGAGUGCGGCAGAGGGGGAUGGAAUUCCGCGUGUAGCAGUGAAAUGCGUAGAUAUGCGGAGGAACACCGAUGGCGAAGGCAAUCCCCUGGGCCUGCACUGACGCUCAUGCACGAAAGCGUGGGGAGCAAACAGGAUUAGAGACCCCCGUAGUCCCUGUCUCUUAUAA